UGGGGAAUAUUGGGCAAUGGACGCAAGUCUGACCCAGCAACGCCGCGUGAAGGAAGAAGGCUUUCGGGUUGUAAACUUCGUUUUAAGGGGGAAGAGCAGAAGACGGUACCCCUUGAAUAAGCCACGGCUAACUACGUGCC
rnacentral:rRNA from 1 species